UACGUAGGGGGCAAGCGUUGUCCGGAAUCAUUGGGCGUAAAGAGCGCGUAGGCGGUCCGGUAAGUCCGCUGUGAAAGUCAAGGGCUCAACCCUUGAAUGCCGGUGGAUACUGUCGGGCUAGAGUCCGGAAGAGGCGAGUGGAAUUCCUGGUGUAGCGGUGAAAUGCGCAGAUAUCAGGAGGAACACCGAUGGCGAAGGCGGCUCACUGGCCCGAUACUGACGCUGAGGCACGAAAGCGUGGGGAGCAAACAGG
rnacentral:rRNA from 1 species